GCACACGACGUAAAGACUUGACAUUCUCCCCACUCACAUUACAAGUUGACAGCUACAACACAACGAGGCACAGUGGCUCCUGAGGACCAGAGGAAUAGCUGCCAUGGGCAACCCACUGGAGAAUGACGUAUAAGAGCCGUAAGACAGGGAAGGUGGACAGCAUCCCAUCUGUGGAACUGUCUCAGGCCCAGUGGAGACGUGUGUGUCUGGGACAGGGCAUCAAGUUGACCACCAGCACCAGGCACCAAGUUGACCACCAGCACCGGGCACAUCUACAAAUAUGACAGCUUCAGAGAAAAACAGUGACCAGAGGGAAGAGAGGGAUGAGGAGAGGAAAGGGGUGGAGGAGAGGAAAAAAGGAGGGAGGGU